CUAUUUUCACCUUGACUUAAACCACAUUGUUUCUUUUACCUUCUGUGUUGUUGCCUACAACACUUCAGUUAGAGGACUGGGAAAUAGCAAACAGGGGAAAAAGGCAUGACUUAUUUUGCAUACAGCUAGCCAAACCUGUUUAAACUGUUGUCAUAGCCAAGGCUUUUUAUUGGAACAGAAAACAGCAAGGGUCCAUAGAAAAAUACUGUUGGAAGUUUUUUUUUUUUCCACCAAGGCAGCUCAAGGAGGUUGGACACACAAGUACAGUGGCUCUUUUGGGCCAAGCCAACAUCAAAGUUAGUUCACUAACUUUACAUUCUAGUUAUGUUGGCUUGGCAACAAGCCAACAUACUGUUAUGCUAUUUAAACUUAUUUUUAUUUUUAUUUUUAUUAUUAUUAUUCUUCUGAGACAGAAUUCCAAACGUAUCUCCUCCUAGGGCUUUUAAGCCACAAGCCCCAAACUCGGCAGACACCUGCGGGAUAUAGCGGUGCUGGUUGCUAUAUCUUUUCAGAGUGAUCAGACUUAAAGUUUUUUUUUAAUUAAUUUUUAAAUGUAAAAAUACAUUACCCAUAGACUUACAUUAUCUGAGAAAAAUUGCGCCCCUAGUUGCAAUACCCGUUGCAAUACCCGUUAGAGAUUAAGGGGAGGAGUCGGGUUUCGUUUCACUUUUAAACCCGUUAAAAAUACCAAGUAAAUAAUACAGUUUCCCUCAAACUGACAAGCUAAACCAACAUAUCUGAUUAUUACAGGGGUCAGGGCUUAUUAAUAAUUGAUAUCUGGCCACAGAACAGAGAGAAAGACGAGAGAGAAUUCAUCGCUCCCAUCAGCGUUUGGUCUCACAAUGGGCUCACAACAAACUAAUUUAUUCUUGUUCAGGACCUUUUAAAAAUAAAAUAUUACAGCGAUUGCACACAAUCCACCCAUUAGAACAUACCAAGAGCUAAAAGCGGGUGUUUUGGGGCUGCUGAAGUUUGAAAAUGAAGGAUUUCCGUCAGCUAUUUUCACAGCGCGAGACCGCACGGCUUCUCGUGCAGUCACACAGCGAGCUCACAACAAACGAAUUUAUUCCUGUUUAAGACCUUUUAAAAAUAAAAUAUUACAGCGAUUGCACACAAUCCACCCAUUAGAACACACCAAGAGCUAAAAGCGGGUGUUUUUGGGCUGCUGAAGUUUGAAAAUGAAGGAUUUGCGUCAGCUAUUUUGACAGCGCGAGACCGCACGGCUUCUCGUGCAGUCGCACAGCGAGCUCACAACAAACGAAUUUAUUCCUGUUUAAGACCUUUUAAAAAUAAAAUAUUACAGCGAUUGCACACAAUCCACCCAUUUGAACACACCAACGGCUAAAUUCAGAUUUUUGUGAGCUGGUAAAUUGUGAAACUUAAACAUUUGCAGCAGCCUCUCUGACGGCUCGAGACUUCAACGCUGGCAUGGGGAAAAAGGUCUAAAGUUACAUACUGAAACUACAGCCUUUUACAUGAAAACACUUCAGCGAAUAAACACAAAACAGUUAGAAGAAC
ensembl:lncRNA